CCUACGGGAGGCAGCAGUGAGGAAUAUUGGUCAAUGGGCGCGAGCCUGAACCAGCCAAGUCGCGUGAGGGAAGACGGUCCUAUGGAUUGUAAACCUCUUUUGUCGGGGAGCAAAAGACGCCACGCGUGGCGUUCCGCGAGUACCCGAAGAAAAAGCAUCGGCUAACUCCGUGCCAGCAGCCGCGGUAAUACGGAGGAUGCGAGCGUUAUCCGGAUUUAUUGGGUUUAAAGGGUGCGCAGGCGGAAGAUCAAGUCAGCGGUAAAAUUGAGAGGCUCAACCUCUUCGAGCCGUUGAAACUGGUUUUCUUGAGUGGGCGAGAAGUAUGCGGAAUGCGUGGUGUAGCGGUGAAAUGCAUAGAUAUCACGCAGAACUCCGAUUGCGAAGGCAGCAUACCGGCGCUAAACUGACGCUCAGGCACGAAAGUGUGGGGAUCGAACAGGAUUAGAUACCCUGGUAGUC
rnacentral:rRNA from 1 species